UAGUACGUACAAAUAAAACCUAUAGAUAAGAAUUCUACAUACUUGAAAGAGGCAAAUUGGGAAAAAAAAUUCAGAUUAACAGUUCAAUGUUAAAACGAUUGGUGAGCGCCCGAGCGCAGCUACUCGUACCUACUCAAUAAGUACAUCACAUUUUGAUACAAGUAAUUUCAAGACACCAUAUGAAGCAGCUACAUCAAGAAUGCCACCAAAACAUAGCAAUGCUACAGCAGGAGAGUUUAUUAAAAACGCCGCCGACAGCAAAGCCACCUUCGCUAUGGUUUUCAAAACGAUUUCUGGUUGUUAUUUUCAUGUUCCUAUGUUAUAUGAAUACAGCUUUUAUACGGUUCAAUAUCAGUAUUGCGGUAGUUGAGAUGACUUCCAGCAAGGAAAUUGAAGAUGGUAAUUCAACUUCAACUCGACCUCCAGAAUUCAAUUGGGAUUCAAAAACUGUCGGAUCCGUUUUCAGUAUGUUCUACUAUGGUGGAUUGGUAUCAUUCAUGGGUGGAUACGUAGUGUCCAAACUAGGAGGAGCAACAAGCUGUGCGUUAUGCCUGAUGUUAUCUGGAAUUACAACCGUACUUCAUCCGAUCACCUCAAGCCACAAUUUCUAUGCAUUCUUGAUUAUUCGUUUUCUUACAGGCGUCUUUGAGAAUUUCCUUACCAUCAGUGUGUCCGAUGUAUCAUCGAAAUGGAUAGUAAAAAAUGAAAGAUCAAAGCUAACGUCGUUCAGUAUAAGUGGACUUCGAGUAGGCAUGGCUAUCGUACACGGAUUUUGCGGAUAUUUGGCCCAUGGAUGGGGCUGGCCAAUGAUAUUUUACGUCACAGGUGCCUGUUCUUUGAUAACAUCAGUAUUGUGCUUCAUUUUUAUGAAGAAUCAACCUUCGGAAGAUGAAUGGAUUUCUAAAGCUGAGCUAAAGUACUUUGAAUCUCAACAAGAAGAUAUCUCAACUAGUUCGAAAAAAAAUGUUAAACAUCCGUACAGGAGUAUGCUGUUAUCACCAGCAAUUUGGGCCUUGUUUGUUGUUAGGUUCUCGCACGUGUGGGUGGUAACCAUCUUGAUUACCUUUCUUCCGUUGUAUUACAAAGACACAACUGUGGAAAGUAUUGAAAAAAUAGGAUUAUUUUCUUCGGUUCCCAACGCAGCCAGUAGUUUCAUCAUACCCAUUUGUGGGAUAUUACUCGACUACAGCAGAAAAGUCAAUAUCCCAGUAACAUUGAUGCACAAAAUGGUAAUCGGUGGUUCAUUUGCUAUCUGCAGCGCUCUGUUCUUGAGCAGUGUGUUCGUUUCCAAUUUCAUUGUGUCGAUGGUUGCUUUCAGUCUGAUACAGAUGUUUUCAGGCAUCAUUAUUCUGAUCACGCAAAUAAUCAUCAUCAGUGUAGCCCCAAACAGUAGCGGAGCUGUUGCUGGACUAGUUACUUUCGUUGCUUCGGUGAGAAAUAUUUUAGCACGAGAAACGACAGGAUACAUGACGACCAAUCGAAGUAUGGAAGAAUGGAAUAACUGUUUCAUUUUGUCAAGUGUGAUACUGAUGCUAAGUGCUGUGAUAUUUGCUUUUUACGGAUCGAGCGAAGCUCAAUCGUGGUCAAAGUCGCCAAAUCCAGAUGAUCUCGCUCACGAAAAUCAGACCAAAAAAAUCACUUCGUAGAACAUAAUUCAUCAUAUUUUUACCGAUUGUCCCAUCUUUAAACAUGAGACCAAUUCAACAUACAAGCAAUCAGAGCAUGGCAGAAUGGAAUAAUUGCUUCAUCUUGUCGAGCGGUAUUGCAUUUCUGAAUGCUGUUGUAUUUUUAAGCUACCUACGGAUCCAGUGAAUCUCAAAGCUAGGCAACAUCACAGCCAGCGCCCAUUCAGCAAUAUGAUUCCGUUCAUUUGGAUGAAAAAAACAGCAAACUUUGACAAAUUUCAACAAAUACUGCAUACAUUUGGUUUUCAGAUCUGUCUUUCAAUACAUUACCUACUCACUUUU